AUUGAACGCUGGCGGCAGGCCUAACACAUGCAAGUCGAACGGUAACAGGAAACAGCUUGCUGUUUCGCUGACGAGUGGCGGACGGGUGAGUAAUGUCUGGGAAACUGCCUGAUGGAGGGGGAUAACUACUGGAAACGGUAGCUAAUACCGCAUAACGUCGCAAGACCAAAGAGGGGGACCUUCGGGCCUCUUGCCAUCGGAUGUGCCCAGAUGGGAUUAGCUAGUAGGUGGGGUAACGGCUCACCUAGGCGACGAUCCCUAGCUGGUCUGAGAGGAUGACCAGGCACACUAGAAAUGAGACACGGUCCAGACUCCUACGGGAGGCAGCAGUGGGGAAUAUUGCACAAUGGGCGCAAGCCUGAUGCAGCCAUGCCGCGUGUAUGAAGAAGGCCUUCGGGUUGUAAAGUACUUUCAGCGGGGAUGAAGGGAGUAAAGUUAAUACCUUUGCUCAUUGACGUUACCCGCAGAAGAAGCACCGGCUAACUCCGU
rnacentral:rRNA from 1 species